UCGUAUUCACGCAGCGCCCUAUCGAACUAAACUUGGCCCGUGUUGCUAGAUUCAAAAUAAUUUCGGUUUCUUCCUACCUUUGUUUUUUUUUUUAAUCGCAGGUCGUUUUUGAAAAAAAAUUGUCUUCAAAUAUUCCUUUAUUCGUCUGCGCUUUGUAUUAAUUAAUAUUUUAAGCAAACUAAAUAGGAAAGAAAGCGUUUUUUUGUCAAGUCAUGAGUGUUAGCCUUAGCUCCGUUCGGGCUCUGGUAACCCCGUCGUUUCAUCUGUCACCGAUGGCUCGCCACGUCGAGAGCCGUUCUUUUUGGAUUCGGAAGAGAUCGUAGCAAGGCGUGGUUGUUUCCUUUUCCCAGCGGCCUGGUGCCGUCUGAUGGCUUCUACCUAUAUCGCGGUUUAAGCCGCCUAAUCCUCGUUGGAUGUGAAUCGUCCUGUGCAGUUGAAGCCCCGGGUGCAUUGAAAUUAUGCAAGUCCUUUCCUACCCCCGCUUAUUGUCUGCCCCGGGGUUUCAAGAUUUACCGUCUUUAUUACAAGUGUACGGUGUGGCCUCAAGAUGCCAGCUUCUGCAAGCCGAGCUACCAGUGGCAGGGAGCUGUGCCUGGCGUUUCCCUACUUCCACGUCGAGGUUCCUGGUCAACGUGGCGGUUGUAUUGUUUACGGUCUCUCGAAGUUUUGGAGGUUAGAUCGACCCUUUAUUUAAUAUUAAUUACUGAACCAGAGAUGCUGGUUCUGGCGCCCUCAUACCCCUUACUACCGUUUAAAUUUGUCCGUCAGUAGGCCGCUUCUACCAAAACAUUUU